GUUGAAGAACGUAGUGAAAUGCGAUAACUAGUGUGAAUUGCAGAAUUCCGUGAAUCAUCGAGUCUUUGAACGCACAUUGCGCCCCCUGGUAUUCCGGGGGGCAUGCCUGUCCGAGCGUCAUUGCUGCCCAUCAAGCACGGCUUGUGUGUUGGGUCGUCGUCCCCUCUCCGGGGGGGACGGGCCCCAAAGGCAGCGGCGGCACCGCGUCCGAUCCUCGAGCGUAUGGGGCUUUGUCACCCGCUCUGUAGGCCCGGCCGGCGCUUGCCGAACGCAAAUCAAUCUUUUUCCAGGUUGACCUCGGAUCAGGUAGGGAUACCCGCUGAACUUAAGCAUAUCAAUAAGCGGAGGA
rnacentral:misc_RNA from 1 species